AGUGCAAUAAUAUCCAUAAGGGUGUCCCUCGUUGAGAAAAUAUCGCGGAUUAUACGGGAUUGUUGAUUGGUUUACGAUUAAAUAAAUAAAUUUUGAGGAAAAUUAAGGAGAAAUGGUGGUCCCAACAGGACUCGAACCUGUGACCACUACCU
rfam:Sulfuricurvum sp. RIFOXYD2_FTLL_44_160 rifoxyd2_full_scaffold_992, whole genome shotgun sequence.